UACGUAGGGUGCGAGCGUUGUCCGGAAUUAUUGGGCGUAAAGAGCGUGUAGGCGGCCAGGUAGGUCUAGGUGUGAAAACUCGAGGCUUAACCUCGAGAUGUCAUCGGAAACCAUCUGGCUAGAGUCCGGAAGAGGCGAGUGGAAUUCCCGGUGUAGCGGUGAAAUGCGCAGAUAUCGGGAGGAACACCAAUGGCGAAGGCAGCUCGCUGGGACGGUACUGACGCUGAGACGCGAAAGCGUGGGGAGCAAACAGG
rnacentral:rRNA from 1 species